UUAUGUAGCAAUACAUGAAGAGUGGCGUAAGGGAGAGUAAUGCAUGGUUAGCUACCCUCGGGACUGGGAUAGCGGCGGGAAACUGCCGGUAAUACCAGAUGACAUCUUCGGAUCAAACGUGUAAACCGGCCCGCGGAAGUGACCAUGUCCUAUCAGCUAGUUGGCGGUGUAACGGACCACCAAGGCAAAGACGGGUAUGGGGCGUGAGAGCGUGCCCCCACUCACUGGGACUGAGACACUGCCCAGACACCUACGGGUGGCUGCAGUCGAGAAUCUUCGGCAAUGGGCGCAAGCCUGACCGAGCGACGCCGCGUGCGGGAUGAAGGCCUUCGGGUUGUAAACCGCUGUCGUAGGGGAGGAAGGUUUGGUGUAUAGCCAAGCUUGACCGAUCCUAGGAGGAAGGACCGGCUAA
rnacentral:rRNA from 1 species